rnacentral:lncRNA from 1 species
AUGGUUCUCGGGCACCGUGGGCGGGAGGCAGUGACGAGGGCGGGGGGAAGAGCGUGUCCGCCCGGAGGCUCGAUGACUCACCGCGGGGGCCCGCAGCAUCCCCGCGGCCCCUCCGCGUCUUUUCCCCCCUUUCCACGUCUCUCCCUUCCCCGCAGGACCCCCGGGCUCCGGGCUGGGCACACGCCACCCCCAUGGCAAGGGGAAGCAGGGCUCGCCACCACCCGCCAGGGCUCCCCUGAAAAUCCUGCUUGCCCCCAGGGCUCCCUGCCGGGGCAGGAGGGAUGCAGGGAUACAGGGAUGCAGGGCUCAGCCCCGCCAGGAGCCGGGGAAAACCCACAGGCACGCUCCAAGAAGCCGCCACCGUGCUGGGGGAGCACCCCGCUGCAGGACGUUCAGCAACACCCCCUGCCUUGCACCCGCACCCUCGCACCCUCGCUCCACCCUCGGCGGCGUGGGGCACCCAGGGCUCUCCCCAACCCCUGGAAGGGGCACCCAGGGCUCUCCCCAAGCCCUCCUCGCGCCCCGGAGGAGAAUCACCCACAUAUCUGCAGCCCUGAUGCAUCAGGCUCACCUGCCCGCACGUGCCGCCUGCCCCGGGGCGACGCAAGGGGCCCCCGCCGUGCUGCAGCCCCACGGGCACCUGGCCCAGGCGUGGGGACCAUCAGCGGUGAUGCCGUCGCGUCCUCCGUGGGAUCCUGCUCGGGGUCACCCGUGUCCCACCAGCCAGCCCCGAGCUGUCCCGGCAGCGUCUCCGCCAUCCGGAGCCUGCGGAGGUUUCGUGUUGCGAGUGCAAUUUUCUGGAGGAAACACCGAGCGUAUCCCAGGGGGGCAAGAAGGAGGGGUGGUACUCGAGCACAGUCACGCACGGUUCUGAUCUGGGCUUUGCAGCGUGUUUUGAAAAGGUUCGAGGGCUGGAAAACCUGCCAGGAAUACAGGCAGGAAUACAGAAGGGAAGGGGCUGGGGGCUGCGUCUGCGAGGGGCCAGAUGCCUCGGCUGGACCUUUAAUCCAGCAGCGACAGCGUAACGUCUAG